UACAGAGGUCCCAAGCGUUGUUCGGAUUCACUGGGCGUAAAGGGUGCGUAGGUGGUGAGGUAAGUCGGAUGUGAAAUCUCCGAGCUCAACUCGGAAACUGCAUUGGAAACUACCUUGCUCGAGGAUUGGAGGGGGGACUGGAAUGCUUGGUGUAGCAGUGAAAUGCGUAGAUAUCAAGCGGAACACCAGUGGCGAAGGCGAGUCCCUGGACAACUCCUGACACUGAGGCACGAAAGCUAGGGGAGCAAACAGG
rnacentral:rRNA from 1 species